rnacentral:tRNA from 1 species
GAGGGUAUAGCUCAGUGGUAGAGCACAUGCUAAGCAUGCAUGAGGUCCUGGGUUCAAUCCCCAGUACCUCUA